GACGAACGCUGGCGGCGUGCUUAACACAUGCAAGUCGAACGGAAAGGCCCUGCUUGCAGGGUACUCGAGUGGCGAACGGGUGAGUAACACGUGGGUGAUCUGCCCUGCACUUCGGGAUAAGCCUGGGAAACUGGGUCUAAUACCGGAUAGGAGCCAUUUUUAGUGUGAUGGUUGGAAAGUUUUUUCGGUGUAGGAUGAGCUCGCGGCCUAUCAGCUUGUUGGUGGGGUAAUGGCCUACCAAGGCGGCGACGGGUAGCCGGCCUGAGAGGGUGGACGGCCACAAUGGGACUGAGAGACGGCCCAGACUCCUACGGGAGGCAGCAGUGGGGAAUAUUGCACAAUGGGCGCAAGCCUGAUGCAGCGACGCCGCGUGGGGGAUGACGGCCUUCGGGUUGUAAACUCCUUUCGCUAGGGACGAAGCUUUUUGUGACGGUACCUAGAUAAGAAGCACCGGCUAACUACGUG
rnacentral:rRNA from 1 species